rnacentral:rRNA from 1 species
GUAAGGGGCGAGCGUUGUUCGGAUUUACUGGGCGUAAAGGGUGUCUAGGCGGCACGUCAAGUCGGAAGUGAAAUCCCACGGCUUACCCGUGGAAUUGCUUUCGAAACUGGCGAGCUUGAGUACGGGAGAGGAGAGCGGAAUUCCCGGUGUAGCGGUGGAAUGCGUAGAUAUCGGGGAGAACACUCGUGGCGAAGGCGGCUCUCUGGACCGCUACUGACGCUGAAGCACGAAAGCCAGGGGAGCGAACGGGAUUAGAUACCCCGGGUAGUCCUGGCCGUAAACGAUGUGCACUUGGUGUAGGAGGUAUCGACCCCCCUUCUGUGCCGAAGCUAACGCAUUAAGUGCACCGCCUGGGGAGUACGGCCGCAAGGCUG